CAGUAAACAUGUGACGAUUGAAAUCAGAGAUAAGCAGUUAGAUGUGGAAAGAGGAGCAUGAAAAAAUCAAACCCGCCUUUAUGUACACAAAAUACAGAUUAGAGAGCAAAAAUAUUUUUCUCGUCGAAGGAAAGCAACAACAAGUGGAAUUAAUGUGUAUACCUUUUGAUAUUUUGUAGCUGGACGAACAUCAAGAAGCGUUGUGUUGGAAAGUUGAACUGCAUAGCCAGCUUCCUUUCCUUUGGAGUAAGAGGCUUCACUUUCCCCUCCCUGACCUAUAAUUAUGGAAUUUAGUCAUCGGAAUGGAACACGUAUAUCUAUAUAGAACAACUCUCUCAAUAACUUAUCGAAGAACUCUCUCAAUACCUUAACAUGUUAAAAGGCCUUUAUAUGCAUCUUAUCCUUCUAAGUCGUAACACACCUCCUCACUCGUACAAGUAGACCACAUACAAUUCCAGUAGAAUUAUAGCACAUAACCUUUAGACAUGUGGUGGACUUUUAUUGGUUCUCAUUCAUUAAUAAUGGUGGCCCCCCGCAUGCACAAAAAUCAUCACCAAUCAAAAUCUCUCCUCUACAUUAAAAUUAGUUCUUAGCAUAUGCCCAUGAGUAGGGGUGUUCAUGGGUCGGGUUGACCGGGUUGGAGGCAUUUUUAUAACCCGACCCAAUUAAAUCGGUUUGAGAAUUUUGAACCUAACCCAUAAAAUAUAAAUUCGUAACCCAACCCUACCCGUCAUAUAUCGGUUUGGGUCGGGUUGGGUUGGUUUAAAUGGGUUAAAUGACUUUAAGAAAGAAAAAUUCAUACUACGUAUCAUCGCUCAUAUCGAAUAAUUUAAAAAACUAUAAUACGUAUAACUUACAAUUAUAUUACUAAUAUUUAAAUUGAUUAACGUUAAUUUUUUAGGGAUUCAUAAAAUAUCGUAAAUAAUAUGUAAAUACAUAAAAUAUAACCCUACAUAUAUCAAUAGAAGUAUGUUAUAUUGUAUUUUGUAUAAUUGUAUAUAAUAUAUAAAUAUAAAUAUAUAUUUAAAUUAUCGAACAAAACUCGUAAAUUAAUCGGGUUGGGUUGGGUUGACCCGAAAAAUGUAGAAUUUAUACCCAACCCAUUUAGUUCGGUUUGAAAUUGUUUUAAUCCAAUUAAGUGUCGGGUUUUUUGUAUCGGUUUGAUAGGCCGAAAAGAGGGGCGGGUUGGGUCGGUUUAGUCGGGUUGACCCUUUUGGUUUUCUGUUACUAUUGAGUUUCUGUAAUUUCUCUCUUAUCUCUCCCAGUCUCUCUCUUAUAAAAACCAGGUUUAAAACAGCCCUUUUGCGUUACUAUUCAGCUUCUGUAGUUUCUCUCUCAUCUCUCCCAAUCUCUCUCAGUCUCUCCCGGCCUCUCUCUGCAAACUCAACUCAGUAGUAUAAUAAGGCCAUGCUGACUCGCCUGAUGUUGCAUCCUUAGGCCAAGUAAAAGCAGGGGAAGUAUUCAUAAAGCAAUAGCUUGUGCUGUUCUUCGUAUUACAGAAGAGUAGUAGUGCCUUCUAGGAAUUUGCUAUAUGCAGUGGACUGGACAUGCUGGAAAUAUAUUAUCUCAAAUAGAGUACUCAUCCGCCCGUGAAACAUGUACUUGGGUUUGUCAUGUCAUCUGGAUCUGUAAAUUAGUCUUCUACAGUUAGCAAAGUGGCAAGACCAAAGGGAACUAUAAUUAUAAACCAUCUUACUUGUAAAUGUUUAUUUCUGCUUAAUUGUCAAAUCUGCACACAAGAUCUGUACUUUUUGUAUGUAUUCCAUGCAUAUUAAUGAUCAAGUAAGUUAGAAUGUUUUAACA